GGGUCAAUCAUGGGAGGAACUAGGUCCCGUGAAAAGGGACUGGGGCCAGGCUGAUGGUAGACUAGGGGGCCUUGUGGUGGUACUUGUUGAUACGGCGGGGUCACCGGAUUAUACUAUGGCGGUGGUACCGGGUGCUACUGUGGAGGAGUAAGGUCGUACCGAGGUGGCUUAGGAUCCUCUCGCUACAGUUGUGGCUCAACCUGUUGCAGCGGGGGAGGGUCAGGUAGCUCCCUCCUCUCCUCUCGGCCCUGCUGG
rnacentral:lncRNA from 1 species